rnacentral:lncRNA from 1 species
AUGUUUGGGUGUCAGUGCCCACUUCCCCUUUUCCUGCCUCUGUGGCCCCACGUGGAAACCUACGGGGAAGCCCGUCCUACAGGGGAAGCCUACCCACUCGAACCCUCAAAGAACGGCUGGGCGACCCCGAGUGCAAGCCCACCUAGGAGAACUCCACGUGCUCCUAAGAAAGACAACGAAGGAGCAAGGCCAGAUUUUCCUUGGGCUGGGAGGAUGGAGGCAUCCAGGCAGCUGUUGCCAAUUUCCCUGGGCCUCAGACUUGAACGUUUGGGACAUCACCCUAAUGAUGAUUGACAAGUCAGCCACAGUCCUGCUCACACUGGAGUCCCCCUCAAAACGCGUCACUUUAUAAGAUACUCACACAUGCACCCGUUAAAUUGGGGCUGAGACGAGGAGGGCGGGGUUCUCCGAUUCCUGAAGUGGGACCAUAAAGGCCUCUUUAUUGUAGGCG